UCCUGAAAUAGAAGGUUCCAAACUUGAGAUCAGACUAGAACAAUGGAGUCUGUAUUCUUUUUCACACGUAAUGUUGCUGACAGUUUUAGGAUUUUCUACUCUAUUUUGGAUCCUGAAAUUGAUGCAGAUAAAAUUAGCCUAGCUAGUACAUUAUACUUUUUUUUUCCUUUUCUAAGAAAAUGCAGUAUAGUAAUAAUACAGAAAUAGGAAUUCAACAACUGCAAUAAUACCUCAAUCCUGAAUUAGUUGGAUUUUGCAUAUAAAAUCUCAACAUCAAUUUAAUUCCUUCUCCACCAUUUUUCCCAAUACUUAAUAAUUUGUAGUACACCUUCAAACAAAAAGCAGAGUCAGUUGAGAAACCAAACAAUGAAUAAGCCAGAUGGCUAAAAAAAUGAACCUUUAAAAACUGAUCUCAACAGCAACAACAAUAGCAACAGCAUCAAGGUGGGGAAUGUUAAUCCCCCAUAACCAAAGGGGGAAGAAGCUACCGUUGGGGAGCACAAGAGAGAACAUCUCCGCAGAGGCGAUGAGAACAAGGAGAAGAAGAGG
rnacentral:lncRNA from 1 species